UGGGGAAUUUUGGACAAUGGGCGAAAGCCUGAUCCAGCAAUGCCGCGUGUGUGAAGAAGGCCUUCGGGUUGUAAAGCACUUUUGUCCGGAAAGAAAUCCUUGGCUCUAAUACAGUCGGGGGAUGACGGUACCGGAAGAAUAAGCACCGGCUAACUACGUGCCAGCAGCCGCGGUAAUACGUAGGGUGCAAGCGUUAAUCGGAAUUACUGGGCGUAAAGCGUGCGCAGGCGGUUUGCUAAGACCGAUGUGAAAUCCCCGGGCUCAACCUGGGAACUGUAUUGGUGACUGGCAGGCUAGAGUAUGGCAGAGGGGGGUAGAAUUCCACGUNUAGCAGUGAAAUGCGUAGAGAUGUGGAGGAAUACCGAUGGCGAAGGCAGCCCCCUGGGCCAAUACUGACGCUCAUGCACGAAAGCGUGGGGAGCAAACAGGAUUAGAUACCCUGGUAGUCCACGCCCUAAACUAUGUCAACUAGUUGUUGGGGAUUCAUUUCCUUAGUAACGUAGCUAACGCGUGAAGUUGACCGCCUGGGGAGUACGGUCGCAAGAUUAAAACUCAAAGGAAUUGACGGGGUCAUAGCUGUUUCCU
rnacentral:rRNA from 1 species